rnacentral:lncRNA from 1 species
CCCAAGCUCCUACUUAGGAAUUCAAAUCCACUAAAUUGUAUUCAACAAGAAUACAACAUCGGUACCUCCGACUCUAGCUAUCCUAAGCUAGAACACUUAUUUUUUAGGUACAAGCCAACCCAAUAUAAUCCGAUUCAAGGUUUGGAUUAACCUUUCUACAUUUUUGGAAUCCUUCCAAAAUUAAAGAUCAACUCAAAAACAGAGUAUAACUGUUAAUCACACGAAAAUACAAAUGUAGCUUCUUUAAUGA